AUGAUAGGGUUUAAAAGUGUGACGAUCCCAAUCCUGAAAUCCCUCUUCUUCUUCUUUACGCCGUUCACUUCUUCUCUUCAAAACAAAACGCGGCGCUGCAACACCAUCUCUGAUAGAUCUCCGCCGUUUCUUUCUGAUCUCGACUCAACCUCCGCUUCGGUUUGCGGCUACAACAGUUCACGAUUUAACACCUUGUCGCUCUAUCAACUCUGCUUUGAACUCCUUCAAUGUCGUCACAGAGGCUUCGUCUCACACUCCCAACACAACGUGGCGGAGAACUUUGUUUGUUCUUCAAGCUUGACAAAGUCGAGGAAAAAACCAGAGAAUAAUGACUCAGGUUUUCAGGCAUAUUGCAAUGUUUUUGAAACGGGGCGGGGCUGA
rnacentral:lncRNA from 1 species